rnacentral:rRNA from 1 species
GACGAACGCUGGCGGCGUGCUUAACACAUGCAAGUCGAGCGGAGCGGCGAACGGGUGAGUAACGCGUGAGUAACUGCCCCCCUCUCUGGGAUAACAGUUGGAAACGGCUGCUAAUACCGGAUAGUGGGGGAUGAUUCGUGUCGUAUCAGCUUUUUGGUGGGGUAGUGGCCUACCAAGGCGACGCCGGGUAGCCGGCCUGUGAGGGCGACAGGCCACAUUGGUCUGAGAUACGGCCCAAACUCCUACGGGGUGUAGCAGGGGGGAAUAUUGAACAAGGGGGGAAACCCUGAUGCAGCAUGGCCGCGUGCGGGAUGACGGCCUUCGGGUUGUAAACCGCUUUCAGCCAUGACGCGGUAGUGGCAGAAGAAGCACCGGCUAACUACGUGCCAGCAGCCGCGGUAAUAC